rnacentral:lncRNA from 10 species
UUCAUGUUGUAGCAUGGGUCAAAAUUUUCUUCCUUUUUUAGGCUGAAUAAUAUUCCAUUAUAUAUAUGAAUUACGUAUUUGAGUCAUGUAGAUGAAUUAUAUACAUGAAUAUAUGUAUCUCCUAUUUAUUUUUAAAGGCAGCAAAUUGUAUUAAUGAUUUUGAUAUAUAUUGGCUUUUAAGUAUAAAGACUAUUACCAUUUAACUCUUGGACCCUAAAAUCGUUUUUCUUAAGCAGCAAAUUAUCAUCCUGAUGGAACUAUUCAAGUAAGCAAUGGUAGCCUUGCCUUUUACCCAGCACAGACGAAUGUGUUUCCCAGACCUACUCAGCCAUUUGUCAAUAGCCGGGGAUCUGUUAGAGGAUGUACUCGUGGUGGGAGAUUAAUAACCAAUUCCUAUCGGUCCCCUGGUGGUUAUAAAGGUAUGCCCUGAAUAAAAUUGAAUUAUACUGAA